GGUCUCGCCUCCUUCUGCUCUCUCUCGCUUUCUCCUCCUCACGCGCAAGAGAGGGAGGGCGAAAGGCGCUGGCGGCGACCGAGCGCGGCGGUGGGGAUGGAGGGGAGGCCGGCGGUGGGGGAAUGGAGAGGAGGCUGGCGGUCUGGAAGGGGAGGAGCUCGGUGGCGGCGGGGAUGGAGGGGAGAGGUCGUCGCGGGCGGUCGCGCGCGAGGCGGCCGGUCCGCGACGGUGGCGUAGCGGCGCUGUGUCGGGCAGAGGAGGGAGGCGGCGCGAAGGAGAGGUGGAGGGAGGUCGCCGCGGGGACGGUGGCGCGGCUCAGGCGGAGGGGGGCGGCGCGGCGCGGUGGCUAGGCCGCGCGCGCACGGGAGGGAGGCGACGUCGAGGGGAGGAGAGGAGGAAGGGAGUGGCGGGUCUGGGAAGGAGGAGGUCAGGGCGUCGGCCAGCGAUGCCGCGCGCACGUACGGCGUGGGUGACGCGCGCAAGGCGGCGACGGCGCGGCCGGGCUCGACGCUGCCACGGGCGUCGAUGCUCGGCUCGGUUCGUCCUCGCGUGCCGAGUGCUCGACCGAGGUCCUCAGAGGGAGUUCGCGGAACGGCGCGGCGGCCAACUCCAACCUGCCUCUUGCCCAACCGAGGCUCGGCUCGUGGCCAGCCGCGGCGGAGCAAGCGGCGAAUGCGCUGGAUAGAGGAGUGCAGAGCAUGGAGGUGGAGGGGAAGGAAAAAAUGGAGAGUAGGGAGAGGAGGGGAAGGAAGGAAUGGAUUUUUUGCGCCGAUCCGUGAAUUUAUUUAUAGGUUAAAUAGAUGAUAACUAAUGAAUUUUUGCGUCGUGGUCCAGUUUGCCGCAUCUAGAGAUACAAGUGGAUGAAUCUAUAAGUCAAAUUAAUAGGUAAUCCGCGAGUCAAACCUGUAGGUUCCCCACUCAUUUUGCCUAUAAGCGGUUUGCGGACAAGACCGCUUGCAACCUUAAAUUGUGGUGGCCGGAAUGUAGGAGGCAGCUAUGCAUGGCUCCCUGGACUUGGCGUUGUUUCUCGGUGUGGACUAUCCCUCAUUGUUGCUUGUGGUUUGGGGAUGUUUUUGGUGGGCUGGGAGCAUGGGUGCAUGGGUGGUUGCUGGGGAGGGGACCCUACUGAGUUGAAGGCUGGCGAAUCUUGGUUCAAAUAAGUGUUGUGGCGAGGAUGGAUUUUAAUCUCUCAUGUGGACAUUCACAUAUUUCUUA